UUAAGACCUAACAAUAUGCCGGAUAAUAAUAUCAACCGAUUAAAAUUCAAAGGAUAUGGCGGUGUUUUUAUAUAAUCAGGGGAACCUGUUUCUUAAUUCGAUAAUCCACGAAAGUUCAACCUUUUUCGAAUAUCAGCUUGUGUACUGCUGUCGUCAGUAAACCUAUAAAAGUAAGUUUACAAAUAAUACACUCUAUUUUACGUCAAGUCAAAGUGCAGCAUAUAAAAAGGAGUUAAUGGGUUACAAUCUCAAUAUAGAUUACGAAUAAACAAAAUAAAAAUGUUUUAAAGGUGGACUUGUAAGUAAUAUUAACAAAAAACAAAUAUAAAAAUUUCUAAAACAUGUACACAUCGCCCGUCACUCUCAUCUAAAGACG
rnacentral:rRNA from 1 species